rnacentral:rRNA from 1 species
CUUUGGGAUAACCCUCGGAAACGGGGGCUAAUACCGAAUAUUACACAGUCUCGCAUGGGGUUGUGUGGAAAGUUUUUUCGGUCUGGGAUGGGCUCGCGGCCUAUCAGCUUGUUGGUGGGGUGAUGGCCUACCAAGGCGACGACGGGUAGCCGGCCUGAGAGGGCGACCGGCCACACUGGGACUGAGACACGGCCCAGACUCCUACGGGAGGCAGCAGUGGGGAAUAUUGCACAAUGGGCGGAAGCCUGAUGCAGCGACGCCGCGUGAGGGAUGACGGCCUUCGGGUUGUAAACCUCUUUCAGCGGGGACGAAGCGUGAGUGGCGGUACCUGCAGAAGAAGCGCCGGCCAACUACGUGCCAGCAGCCGCGGUAAGACGUAGGGCGCGAGCGUUGUCCGGAUUUAUUGGGCGUAAAGAGCUCGUAGGCGGCUUGUCGCGUCGACUGUGAAAACCCGCGGCUCAACCGCGGGCCUGCAGCCGAUACGGGCAGGCUAGAGCUCGGUAGGGGAGACUGGAAUUCCUGGUGUAGCGGUGAAAUGCGCAGAUAUCAGGAGGAACACCGGUGGCGAAGGCGGGUCUCUGGGCCGAUACUGACGCUGAGGAGCGAAAGCGUGGGGAGCGAACAGGAUUAGAUACCCUGGUAGUCCACGCUGUAAACGUUGGGCGC